CACAAACACCUUCCUCAAUGUUGCCUUACUGGGAUUAAUCAGAAAAGAGCACAAAAGUCACACAGUGUUGUUGAUAAUGCCAAAAGCAUAUAUUUUUCUCUGCUUUCAGUCAUGCUGACCCUUGAUUGGGGUCCCCUUUUGUGUAAUCAUUUCAUACAUAUUCUUUAUUAUUGCAGCGUCCAGCUCUCCAUUUCCUGUGCUGUUGAUCGUUGGGCUGGUUAUUGGCAUCUUUCUGGUUGUUCCCCUGCCACUGCUGCUGUGUUGGUACAAGAAGUCCAAGGAUACAUGUUGUCACAGGUUCAUCCAGUCUCACAGGACCAAUCUGUCUUUCACAGAUACAUGUUGCCACAGGUUGGUCAACACUCUUGUCUCAUCUUAAACAUAAGAUUUAUUAACUGUCACAUUGAGCCAAGCGCAGACACAGAAACAAGGGAUCUGGGGGCCUGUACUCCAAGCUG